UGUGCCCAAUAGGGUUGUACUUCCCUGGACCCUUGAAAUUAGAUCUGGCCAUAUGACUUGUCAUGGACAAUAAAAUGCACACUGGGUUCAUUUUGCCUCUCUCACGGGGCGUGCCUGUGCAUGAACAGCUCUUGCUAAUGUGCUGUAACAUGGACCCAUCACAGGAUCAAGUCUUCCACUUACUACUGACCAUGUAGGAACAAAGAAAUCAAAACCAUAGCUCCUAAAAGAUUCCCUAAUGGCUGCAAUGUUUUGGCUUACUGAGCAUAACUGAAUUAAUUCAUGGUUUUCCUGGAAGAGGAAUUGAAUCCAUCGACCUAUGGCUCUGUCGUGCUUGUUUUGGAGACGGGCCAAUGGGUUACAUUAAUUCUGGGAGAGAAUCGUGGUGAGUCAGUUUUUGAACCUCACCUGUGCAGUUAAACCUUGGGUGGUCCUUUCCUCCAAUUGAACAGAUUAAUCUGUUUCUUGUAUAAAAAGAAUUGCAAGCUGAAACAUUACAUCAAACUGCUAGUCUGCACCCUACACCAUGAAAUAUCAGCUCUAUUAGUUCCAUUCUUCACGACACUGUGAAAUAAUGAAAAGCAUAUUGUGUAACCAAAGUAUGGCAGAUUUCAAUGCACAUAUUUCCAAAUGACCCUCUUAGUUUUCCAAGUAAGUGUAAAUUACUUAGUAACAAUGGAGUUAACUGAACUAUUAUUCGCUCAAAACAACAUUGCUAUUACUCACUUAAGACAAAGCCCACAUGAAAUGCCUCUAGUAUAUAAAAUACAUUAUGGGUAAUUAUGCAAUUGCUAAACUUCUCUAAAGCAUUUGUUUGGAAAUUUAGGAAAUGGAAGCAUCUGCAAAUCUAGAUUUUAAUUAACCUUGAGAGAGAUCACAGUGUAACUCUGGGUAAAUGAAAGGGGGAAACUUAUUAACAAUAUUAUUUGGUAAACAAGAGAGAAAAAACUUAAAGGUA